AAAGGGCCCGCUCGCCGCGCCGCUCUGGGAGCCGCUGCUGGUCCCGGCCUUGCGGCCUGCGGGGGAGGCUGCCCGGAGGAGGCAGCGGCGGCGGCAGCGCGUCCUCGGUCCCCAGGACCACGGCUUCUUUCCUGCCAGAGCGACUCUACCUUGGAAACCAGGGAUUCCCCUUCCCGUCGCCCGCCCCAUUUGAUAUAUGGGCCUGAAAUGUAUGCCAUCCCAUCACCAUCGGACUGGACUGUUCACAGCACUGGAGAGACAGAGGUCCUUCAUUCACUCCAGGUCACAGGCUGUGCGUGUGCAUGCCGAACACCCACAUGCACACAGUUGGUGGCUCAGUCUGAUGUACCUGACUUCUCACGCCUUCCCCCAGUCCUCCAGUACCGUGCCUCUACAUGGGCUGGGCAGCCCCAAACUGAAAUGGCCUUGACCAGAUCUGGCUGCUCCUUGCCAUCUGCCUCGCCUGCCGCCUCCUCUGGAGGCUCGGGUUGCCAUCCUACCUGAAGCAUGCAAGCACCGUGGCAGGCGGGUUCUUCAGCCUCUACCACUUCUUCCAGCUGCACAUGG
rnacentral:lncRNA from 10 species